UUGGCUGAGGAACAACAGUGGACAGAGAGAAAGAUCUUUGAGACCGGUUUUUCCCUACCUACAUAGAAACCACUAGGUCAAAGUAUUAUGUACUGAGAUGUCUGGGAAAAGACAGAGUGACUAAGCCUACAGCAGAGAAGCAGUAAUUCAGAGAUUUGCCUUGAGCAUUCCUCUUGCCCCAAAUUAUGCCUAAGUAAUAUAUGGUUAUACCAAUAAGAAAAGGAUCAAAUACUGAAAACUGGAAUCAGGGAUGAGGUUAUUGUUCUGAAAUAAACCUAUGUAGGACUUUGAAACUGGUGGAGAUAGAAUAUGGAAGAUGCCACGAGGCUAGAUAAGCCCUAAAAUGCUGCAAGGAGAGCUUAAAAAUUGUUCUGGAACGAACAUGGAAGAUCAGAAUACUAAGAGAAAUAAGGACAAUAGAUUGUUCUCAUGAUGUUCAAAGCAGAAUGAAGAACCCUUGGAAACUGGACUACAAGCCACUUAUGUACAUUAAAGUAUUGAUUGGACUUCAUGGAAAAGACAGCACAACAGUAGUUCAACUGUUGCUGGCUAAUGAGUAGCAGACAGAAGAGGUGGGUUCAAUACAUAAAGGAUGCAUUCUCACCCAAGGAAUGGAUAAAGUUGCAGCAGGACUUGAGAAACAGUGGAGAAGAAUGGGUUUCUCACACAGUCCCCACAGAAGACCUGAAGUGUGAAAAGAGAUCUGACUGAAUUGAAUUUUAGAAAAAUAAAUCGUUACACUAAAAGUGUUGAAUGUGGCUGACUGUGUUGGCCAUUGUUUUAAUUUAGACAGUGACUUCAGAGAUUUGAAUUUCAUAUCACUGUGAGAUUGGGUGAGGUUUUGGCAAUUCAAAUGGAGUAUAAAUGAUUUUUGCUUUUGUCAUUGUGGAUUUUUCGUGGCAUACUGGGGACAUCACUCGAAGCUUGUUACUAUUGCUGUGGGACUUCUCACUUCACAAUGUAGUACCUUCUACUUGGGGGACAGGUGACUGAAGCAACAUCUUGUUGUUUUAUCUUUGUCACAGUGGCUUUGAUUUAAACUACUGGUGUCUGGGCUGCUAAGGCCUGGGGGGAAUUCUGUUCCCUCUGUUGCUGCCCCUAAAGGUAGUUUUAACUAAAUCUCUACGGAACUAAUAAAACUCGAGGUUCAAAGGCUGGGGUGAAAACCUGCAAGCCUAGAGAGAGUAGCAACUGGCUAACUUUCUCUCUUUGCUGGCAACCUGGAAGCCACUCCCUUCCAAACUUCCCAACUUAAAAAACAAACAAACAAACAAACAAACAAACAAAAUACACAUACUAAGCUCCUCCCUGCUACUACCUCUCUGAGCCCAGAGUAAUUUUACUUAAUUAACGUAAAUGCAACACAUCUUUACAUAGUUAACAAAUGCAGCAUGAACAAAUGUAACACAUCUUUGCCCGGUUAAACAAAUAUUCCCCAACAGCAUCUUCCCUUUAUUUCAUUGUUACAUGCACAGUUGCUCUGCACUAGGUACUCCUAUGUCAAGCUUUGUGGUCUCACUGACAAGGUUAAAUUGGAAAUAUAGCUAUCUUAGCAGACAGUUCACUCAAGAAGUACUGGCUGGUUGGAAAUGUACUUUCAAAGUAGAAUACUUGCUUAGCCCUGGGUUCUACACCCAGCAUCAGUUUUAGAGGAGGUGAACAAGAAACAAAACUCCUCAAACAGUUGUCUCCAUGGACAAUAUUCUUUGUCUAUGAGUCUAUGGGGGAAGGGCAGCCAAGAGGAGAAAGCUCUGAGGUAUGUUAGAAGGAAGAUGAUUCAGAGGAACAGGAAAGCAAAGAGGGAAUGAAGUGUCUGUCCCCUCUUAUAACAGGACUGAUCCUAAAAGAGCCAGGUUUUUUUUCCUGUUUGUUUCAUUUUUUUUCCAAGGAUCCAGUUUGCUAAGACCUCUGCCCCAUAUUACCCCACCAUCCUAUGUUGACUCAUGUCUGGCUUCCAUCAGAUCCUCAGGUAGUACGUCCUGUCUGGUAGCCAAUCAGGGUCCUACCUGGCCACAAGCAGGGACUGUUCUUGCUAUGUUCAGUCAAACAGACCCCUGACACAGUAGACAGACCCCUGACACUGCAACCACAGAUGCUGACGAGAUGUCAUGAGCCAAUCAUAAAAUGAUUCCUGUACCAGUAAGGUUCUAUACCCAUUCUCUUCAAAGUACAUUUAACCAUAGCUGGAAUUCCCCUAAUCUUGCUUAAAAAGAGCCUUUGAGCUUCUCAGGAUAACCAUUUGCCACUGUGUCAGAUGGUUGACCUCUGCAUGCUGGAAUUUUUUAUUAAACACUCUUAUUGAUUGCAUACGUGACUUUUAUGGGACUUCUCAUAGACCCCAACACUGAAAAGAUGAUGGGGACAAAAAAAAGGGAAUCAACAAA